UACGUAGGGGGGCAAGCGUUGUCCGGAAUUAUUGGGCGUAAAGAGCGUGUAGGCGGUCCGGUAAGUCAGCUGUGAAAGUCAAGGGCUCAACCCUUGAAUGCCGGUUGAUACUGUCGGGCUAGAGUCCGGAAGAGGCGAGUGGAAUUCCCGGUGUAGCGGUGAAAUGCGCAGAUAUUAGGAAGAACACCGGUGGCGAAGGCGGCUCUCUGGAACGGUACUGACGCUGAGACGCGAAAGCGUGGGGAGCAAACAGG
rnacentral:rRNA from 1 species